GUAUACAUUGGGAGUUUCAGGAAGUUCAGCUCAACUGAGAUAGUCCCAGGUCUCACUCAAGGGGAAACUCCCCAAAGGAUCUAGUAUAACAAGCUGGGGCUAGGGACAAGAUAGAAAUUGCCAGCUCCUCUAACAUUUUUCCACAAUGUUUUCCUUUAGCCAUUUGAAGUGAGGUUGGCCCCUUCUAGUUUCCUCUUAAAACUGGAAACUGCUAAAGCAAUUCAAUCCUUGAAGAAUCCCAGAGAAGACUGAACUCCAUACUGGCCCUUAUGCAGGGCAGCAUAUCCAUCUCCACCAAAAAGAAGAAAGUCCCCCACCAGUAAGAUCUGGGCCAGGAGUUACAUCUGAAAUCAGACUGGAGAGGACAAUUUAACUUUAAUCCACUGGAGAAGAAAAUGGCAAACCAUUCCAGUAUCUUUGUCAAGAAACCUCCAUGGACAAUAUUACUAUGCUGUGCCAAUGGGAUCUCAAGGCAUCAGAUACUACUGAACAACAAUUGGAUUGAAAAUAAUGCUGUUGAUCAAUCCAAUUUCAGCACCUCUUAAGAAAGUCUGUUCUUAAAAACUAUCCAUCAAUCACUGGAGUUAAUAAACUGAGAGAUUGUG